rnacentral:rRNA from 1 species
GAUGAACGCUGGCGGCGUGCUUAACACAUGCAAGUCGAACGGUGAAAGAGAGCUUGCUCUCUGGAUCAGUGGCGAACGGGUGAGUAACACGUGAGCAAUCUGCCCCUGACUCUGGGAUAAGCGCUGGAAACGGCGUCUAAUACCGGAUACGAGCUGCGAAGGCAUCUUCAGCAGCUGGAAAGAACUUCGGUCAGGGAUGAGCUCGCGGCCUAUCAGCUAGUUGGUGAGGUAAUGGCUCACCAAGGCGUCGACGGGCAGCCGGCCUGAGAGGGUGACCCGCCACACUGGGACUGAGACACGGCCCAGACUCCUACGGGAGGCAGCAGUGGGGAAUAUUGCACAAUGGGCGCAAGCCUGAUGCAGCAACGCCGCGUGAGGGACGACGGCCUUCGGGUUGUAAACCUCUUUUAGCAGGGAAGAAGCGAAAGUGACGGUACCUGCAGAAAAAGCACCGGCUAACUACGUGCCAGCCGCCGCCGUAAUAC